rnacentral:rRNA from 1 species
CACGUAGUUAGCCGGUGCUUCUUUACCCAUUACCGUCACUCACGCUUCGUCACAGGCGAAAGUGGUUUACAACCCGAAGGCCGUCAUCCCGCACGCGGCGUUGCUGCAUCAGGCUUCCGCCCAUUGUGCAAUAUUCCCCACUGCUGCCUCCCGUAGGAGUCUGGGCCGUAUCUCAGUCCCAAUGUGGCCGGUCACCCUCUCAGGCCGGCUACCCGUCAAAGCCUUGGUAAGCCACUACCCCACCAACAAGCUGAUAAGCCGCGAGUCCAUCCCCAACCGCCGAAACUUUCCAACCCCCACCAUGCAGCAGGAGCUCCUAUCCGGUAUUAGCCCCAGUUUCCUGAAGUUAUCCCAAAGUCAAGGGCAGGUUACUCACGUGUUACUCACCCGUUCGCCACUCGAGCACCCCACAAAAGCAGGGCCUUUCCGUUCGACUUGCAUGUGUUAAGCACGCCGCCAGCGUUCGUCCUGAGCCAGGAUCAAACUCU